GGAGGGAUCAUUUCUGGAAGAGCGUUAUGCUCUCAGUUGAUUCCCCGAAUCAAUAAUACAAUCUUUGUGGUGGAUCACUUGGGUACUGUGACGAUGAAGAACGUAGCAAGCCGCGUUAUUUAGUGCGACAUGCAAAGCUCGUGAAGCAUCGAACCGUCGAACAUACACACAACUGCUGAGUACUUGUACUAGGCAGUGCUUGCUCGAGAGUGUCAGCUUUCAUAUUGUCUGGACAAGGUUGCGUAUUACACAUAAAGCCAGGAGUGCUAUCAGUAACACACCAGUAAAAGUACCACGAAUGGGUGUAAUACCUGACCUUGUUUAUCAUUCAUAACACUUCGGUGUUCAUGACAAUACACUAUUAUACUUUCUGACCUCUCCUGUGAGAGAUUACCUACUGAAUUUAAGCAUAUUAGUAAGUAGAGGAAAAGAAAUCAAAAGAGAUUCCCUUAGUAGCGGCGAGUGAAACGGGAAUAGUCCAUCCUGAAAUCUAACGCAAGUUGGAUGUUGUGGGGUGCAGGAUAUUGUUCUUCAUGCUGAUGACUGCCGAAUCUUCCUGGAAAGGAGAACCAAAGAGGGUGAAAGUCCUGUACGGUAGUUUGAGGUGUGGUCGGAUAAUGUUCUAAGAGUAGCAUUCUUUUAAAGUAGAAUGUGAAUAUAGGUGAUGAAUUUCAUCUAAGACUAAAUAUUAACACAGUAUACCGAUAGCAAACAAGUACUGAGAAGGAAAGUUGAAAAGAUCCCUGGAGAGGGGCUGAAAAAUAUGUGAAACCACUGAGUGAACAAAGCGAAUCCAACACGCCUUUCUAUCAAGUAGCAAUUAUUGUCAAGACUUGAUAGCCAGUGAUGUAUCGAAAGGUGCAUUUUCCCACUUGCCUGGAAGAAUGCUGCUCUUUUGGCUUGAAACCAAAGUGGUGAACUUGCUUCGGUGAGCUAACUGCGGAGGCCAGGGCUUAUUGAGUGGUAUUUUGAAAGUUAUGGUUUUGGGUUUUACUGGAUGGCAUUGGAUUCGACCCGUCUUGAAACACGGACCAAGGAGUCUAACAUGCCUGCAAGGGUGUAACGUGUGUAAACGUGAAGCCCGCAGUGAAUGCGUACGAUGUUAGCUUCGGCGAAGCGUCAACCAAUCCAGAACUUCGGUUGGAAUUGCGUUCUAGUUAUAUUGUUGAGACCCGAAAGAUGGUGACCUAUACCUGAAUAGAUUGAAGUCAGGGUAACCUCUGAUGGAGGAUCUCGAACGGUGCUGACGUGCAAAUCGCUCGUCGUACUUGGGUAUUGGAGCGAAAGACUCAUCGAACCAUCAGGUAGCUGGUUCCUCC
rnacentral:misc_RNA from 1 species